rnacentral:rRNA from 1 species
GGGGAAUAUUGGACAAUGGGCGAAAGCCUGAUCCAGCCAUGCCGCGUGUGUGAAGAAGGUCUUCGGAUUGUAAAGCACUUUAAGUUGGGAGGAAGGGCAGUUACCUAAUACGUGAUUGUUUUGACGUUACCGACAGAAUAAGCACCGGCUAACUCUGUGCCAGCAGCCGCGGUAAUACAGAGGGUGCAAGCGUUAAUCGGAAUUAUUGGGCGUAAAGCGCGCGCAGGUGGUUUCUUAAGUCUGAUGUGAAAGCCCACGGCUUAACCGUGGAGGGUCAUUGGAAACUGGGAGACUUGAGUGCAGAAGAGGAAAGUGGAAUUCCAAGUGUAGCGGUGAAAUGUGUAGAGAUUUGGAGGAACACCAGUGGCGAAGGCGACUUUCUGGUCUGCAACUGACGCUGAGGCGCGAAAGCAUGGGGAGCAAACA